rnacentral:lncRNA from 1 species
ACCGGAGCCUGACUGCCCGCGCUCGCGCUCGUGCGCGCGCCGCUCGCCACCGUGUGUCACCAGCCCCGUCCCUCAUGCCAGGCGUUCCCCCGCGCGACCCAGCCGCCGUUCCGCCCCGUCCGGCCAGCUUCGGCCACUGCCCAGCCCCGCCGGACCUCCCCGGCGUCCCCCUUGCCCUCCGCCGGCCUCCCCUCGCCGCCCUAGCCGCCGAACGAGCUUCGUCCAGCCAAGAACAGUGGCUGGAAAAAUGGGUUUCCAGUACUGUUCAAGGCCAUUUUGGGCCGUUUCCGGGCCCCGAACCCGAGCCGUGCUUUGGAGUUUGUUGUUCCUCGCGUCGCCGCCGUCGGAUUGAUCCGAUUUGCGCGCGAUUUG